rnacentral:rRNA from 1 species
GACGAACGCUGGCGGCGUGCUUAACACAUGCAAGUCGAACGGAAAGGCCCUGCUUGCAGGGUACUCGAGUGGCGAACGGGUGAGUAACACGUGGGUGAUCUGCCCUGCACUUCGGGAUAAGCUUGGGAAACUGGGUCUAAUACCGGAUAGGAACCAUCUUUAGUGUGGUGGUUGGAAAGUUUUUUCGGUGUAGGAUGAGCUCGCGACCUAUCAGCUUGUUGGUGGGGUAAUGGCCUACCAAGGCGGCGACGGGUAGCCGGCCUGAGAGGGUGUACGGCCACAUUGGGACUGAGAUACGGCCCAGACUCCUACGGGAGGCAGCAGUGGGGAAUAUUGCACAAUGGGCGCAAGCCUGAUGCAGCGACGCCGCGUGGGGGAUGAAGGCCUUCGGGUUGUAAACUCCUUUCGCUAGGGACGAAGCUUUGUUGUGACGGUACCUAGAUAAGAAGCACCGGCUAACUACGUG